GGAUAUUCCACCGACCUAUUGGAUCGAGAAAAACAUAGUACCACCUCGGCUAUCGACCCAAAAACGCAUAGAAGGGGAGGACUAUAUAAGCAAGGCCCCCCUGGCCCCUGGAGAAGACAUGGAGAAAUUAUCAUAGAGACUGAGGGGUGCCCUCGAAGGAAAACCUCUUCUCUAAUUAAUAUUUCUUUUUAGGCUUAGCAAUCAAUGUAAGGUAGAAAUAGAUCUUCUAGUUUCUACUAGAUUGAGAGAGAUAGAGUGGAGGUGUUGAUUGGAGAAAGCCCGGCCUGUCGGUGUCUACUCCAAGCUUGUACCUGC
rnacentral:lncRNA from 1 species